rnacentral:rRNA from 1 species
UACGGGGGGGGCAAGCGUUGUUCGGAAUUAUUGGGCGCAAAGAGCUCGUAGGCGGUCUGUCGCGUCUGCUGUGAAAACUCGGGGCUUAACCCCGGGCCUGCAGUGGGUACGGGCAGACUAGAGUGCGGUAGGGGAGACUGGAAUUCCUGGUGUAGCGGUGAAAUGCGCAGAUAUCAGGAGGAACACCGGUGGCGAAGGCGGGUCUCUGGGCCGUAACUGACGCUGAGGAGCGAAAGCAUGGGGAGCGAACAGG